rnacentral:lncRNA from 1 species
AUGAAGACCCAGCCAGUGCCUUGGGGUGUCCACCCCCAGAGGAGAAUGUUAGGCACCAGCCAAAUGCAGCAUCUGAAAAUGCGACAGGCUGCCCUCAGAGGGCCGAGGGUGCUGGGCGCAGGGCGAGGCGGGGAGAGGACGCGCGGCGGGCGCGCUGCCCGGGCGGGCGAAGGGGCGGCCGGGGAGGAGGAGCGAGGGCAGCGGGGGCCUGUGCUCCAAAGCCGCGGGCACGGUCUUCGGGCUCUGGGACUCGGCGCCAGAGCGGCAGAGGCUGCAGCGCAGGGAGGGCGCGCGAUCAGGAGGACACGGCGCCCGCAGCCGCGCCAGGACCCUCUCGCGGGCGGGACUUACCGGCGGGCGCCGACGGCGCAGCCGGGACCGGCUCUGCUUUGUGCCCUCACCUCCCCAAGGGCUCUGACGCCCGGCCUAGUUUAUUUAGUUUGUGCCCAUGGGGCCGCCACCCCCACCCACGACGAGCUGCUGCUCCCCAAGGCCGGGGGAGGGCCGGGGCGGACGGGAGACCCCGCGGAGCCACUAGACGCGGUGUUCGACGGGCUUUCCGAGUACUUGGAGGCUCCGCCGCGAGGCUCGAAAUUCACUUUCCAUCUUGAGGGGAAAACAAAGGCAGAAGAAGGCAGCAGCUGCCCGGGAGAGUUCGGGAAACCUCGCUCCCGGCCGGCAGAGCCGGGAUGCAGGCGCGCCGAUGGCCCAGGGGACGCGCCGGCCUCCCCGCGCUCCGCCCCGGUCCCCUCCCCGCCCAGUCCACCACCCUCCGCCCCUCCCCCCCCCCCCCCCCCCCCCCCCCCCCCCCCCCCGCCGGCUGCCGUCCCGCUGUGGGACAUAGGCGGUUCUUUCCAGGAGAGUGGAGCCCAAGGCCUGGGCCGGAAGAUGCCAGCCCGCGGGCUCGGUAGGGGUGGGGUGGGGUGGGGAGCCCGGCCUUCGAGGGGAAGCCCGCAGGGGCAGGGGCGGGAUGGAACAGCCCGGGUGACUGUCUGUCCCCCUCGGCCCCGCCCGGGGCGCCCUCCCCCUGCACUGCCGGUCCCGGCUCAGGAGACCCUGGGGGAGAAGGUGCUGGCGGUCUCGGCCUCCGGCCUCCUGCUGUCGUCGCCUGGCGCUCCCCUGGGGCCUGAGGCAGCCUCCGCCCUUUCGGGGCCCGGCGUUUGGGGCAUUCCACGACGCGUCUCUUUGAGGGUGGGCCUGCAGGGCCCGCCAGUGAAGGCGGAAUGGGCGCUGCGAGGCAGGGUCCGUACAUGA